rnacentral:rRNA from 1 species
AUCGGUACGGGUUGUGAGAGCCAAGAGCCCGAAGAUGGAUUCUUAAGACACGAAUCCAGGUCCUACGGGGCGCAGCAGGCGCGAAAACUUUACACUGCGCGAAAGCGCGAUAAGGGGACCUCGAGUGCGUGCGCAAUGCGUACGCUUUUCAUACGCCUAAAAAGCAUGUGGAAUAAGAGCCGGGCAAGACCGGUGCCAGCCGCCGCGGUAACACCGGCGGCUCGAGUGGUGGCCGCUAUUAUUGGGCUUAAAGGGUCCGUAGCCGGACCAGUUAGUCCCUUGGGAAAUCUUACGGCUUAACCGUAAGGCUGCCAAUGGAUACUGCUGGUCUUGGGACCGGGAGAGGCAAGAGGUACCUCAGGGGUAGGAGUGAAAUCCUGUAAUCCUUGAGGGACCGCCAGUGGCGAAGGCGUCUUGCUAGAACGGGUCCGACGGUGAGGGACGAAAGCUAGGGGCACGAACCGGAUUAGAUACCCGGGUAGUCCUAGCCGUAAACGAUGCGAGCUAGGUGUCACGUGGAUUGCGAAUCCAUGUGGUGCCGUAGGGAAACCGUGAAGCUCGCCGCCUGGGAAGUACGGCCGCAAGGCUGAAACUUAAAGGAAUUGGCGGGGGAGCACAAGGGCGAAUUCCAGCACACUGGCGGCCGUUACUAGUGGAUCCGAGCUCGGUACCAAGCUUGGC